rnacentral:rRNA from 1 species
UACAGAGGGUGCAAGCGUUGUUCGGAAUUAUUGGGCGUAAAGGGCGCGUAGGCGGUUCGGCAAGUCUUCAGUGAAAUCUCUGGGCUCAACUCAGAGUCUGCUGGGGAAACUGCCGGGCUUGAGUGUGGGAGAGGAGAGUGGAAUUCCUGGUGUAGCGGUGAAAUGCGUAGAUAUCGUGAGGAACACCAGAGGCGAAGGCGGUUACCUGGACAGUUACUGACGCUCAGGCACGAAAGCAUGGGGAG